rnacentral:rRNA from 1 species
AUACGGAGGAUCCGAGCGUUAUCCGGAUUUAUUGGGUUUAAAGGGAGCGUAGGUGGACAGUUAAGUCAGUUGUGAAAGUUUGCGGCUCAACCGUAAAAUUGCAGUUGAUACUGGCUGGAUUGAGUACAGUAGAGGUGGGCGGAAUUUGUGGUGUACCGGGGUAAUGCUUAGAUAUCACGAAGAACUCCGAUUGCGAAGGCAGCUCACUGGACUGCAACUGGCACUGAUGCUCGAAAGUGUGGGUAUCAAACAGGAUUAGAUACCCUGGUAGUCCACACAGUAAACGAUGAAUACUCGCUGUUUGCGAUAUACAGUAAGCGGCCAAGCGAAAGCAUUAAGUAUUCCACCUGGGGAGUACGCCGGCAACGGUGAAACUCAAAUGAAUUGGCGGGG